GGGAGAGGCAGACCUGCAGGUGUAAAAUUGCACUAGUGGAUGAAAAGUGAAACUAACACACAGCAUGGGGGCAGUCAGACGUGUGCUUAGUGGCGCUUCAAUAAGAUUUUUAAGAGGGAAAGUCUCUGAGCACCUGCUCUGGACGGGACGCAGUGACGUGCCCCUAAGAGGAAAACUGAGAUGCCAACAAAGAUUGGACCCAAGCUCAGAAUCUAUAUGAAAGAAUAAGUGCUU